GAUGAACGCUGGCGGCGUGCCUAAUACAUGCAAGUCGAGCGAACAGAUAAGGAGCUUGCUCCUUUGACGGUAGCGGCGGACGGGUGAGUAACACGUGGGUAACCUACCUAUAAGACUGGAAGAACUCCGGGAAACCGGGGCUAAUGCCGGAUAACAUGUAGAACCGCAUGGUUCUAAAGUGAAAGAUGGUUUGGCUAUCACUUAUAGAUGGACCCGCGCCGUAUUAGCUAGUUGGUAAGGUAACGGCUUACCAAGGCAACGAUACGUAGCCGACCUGAGAGGGUGAUCGGCCACACUGGAACUGAGACACGGUCCAGACUCCUACGGGAGGCAGCAGUAGGGAAUCUUCCGCAAUGGGCGAAAGCCUGACGGAGCCACGCCGCGUGAGUGAUGAAGGUCUUCGGAUCGUAAAACUCUGUUAUUAGGGAAGAACAAAUGUGUAAGUAACUGUGCACGUCUUGACGGUACCUAAUCAGAAAGCCACGGCUAACUACGUG
rnacentral:rRNA from 1 species